rnacentral:rRNA from 1 species
AUUGAACGCUGGCGGUAGGCCUAACACAUGCAAGUCGAACGCGAAAGUCCUUCGGGAUGAGUAGAGUGGCGGACGGGUGAGUAACGCGUAGGAAUCUGUCCUGUAGUGGGGGAUAACGUUUCGAAAGGAACGCUAAUACCGCAUACGCCCUACGGGGGAAAGCGGGGGAUCUUCGGACCUCGUGCUAUAGGAGGAGCCUGCGUCGGAUUAGCUAGUUGGUGAGGUAAAGGCUCACCAAGGCGACGAUCCGUAGCUGGUCUGAGAGGAUGAUCAGCCACACCGGAACUGAGACACGGUCCGGACUCCUACGGGAGGCAGCAGUGGGGAAUAUUGCGCAAUGGGCGAAAGCCUGACGCAGCCAUACCGCGUGUGUGAAGAAGGCCUUCGGGUUGUAAAGCACUUUCAGUGGGGAGGAAAAGCUGGUGGCUAAUAUCCAUCGGCCGUGACGCUACCCACAGAAGAAGCACCGGCUAAUUCCGUGCCAGCCGCCGCGGUAAUAC